rnacentral:rRNA from 1 species
UUUCACGCUGGCGGCAGGCCUAACACAUGCAAGUCGAACGGUAACAGAAAGCAGCUUGCUGCUUUGCUGACGAGUGGCGGACGGGUGAGUAAUGUCUGGGAAACUGCCUGAUGGAGGGGGAUAACUACUGGAAACGGUAGCUAAUACCGCAUAACGUCGCAAGACCAAAGAGGGGGACCUUCGGGCCUCUUGCCAUCGGAUGUGCCCAGAUGGGAUUAGCUAGUAGGUGGGGUAACGGCUCACCUAGGCGACGAUCCCUAGCUGGUCUGAGAGGAUGACCAGCCACACUGGAACUGAGACACGGUCCAGACUCCUACGGGAGGCAGCAGUGGGGAAUAUUGCACAAUGGGCGCAAGCCUGAUGCAGCCAUGCCGCGUGUAUGAAGAAGGCCUUCGGGUUGUAAAGUACUUUCAGCGGGGAGGAAGGGAGUAAAGUUAAUACCUUUGCUCAUUGACGUUACCCGCAGAAGAAGCACCGGCUAACUCCGUG